CACAGCAUGCACUGUUACUAAAAAGACGAUGCGUCCUCCUGGACCUGAGAUCUGUGUGAUCGUGGGAAAGCGACGAAAAACGAACAAAGGAACAGUAAAUGGAGUAACUUGGCUAGAAUAUGGCAGUAACUACAAGGCAUGUUCUGCUCUGGCACGAAGGAAAGGCUAUAUGAAGACAGAGCAAGAAGGUAGUUAUCUACAAGCCAGGAAGAGAGUCCUCACCAAAACACAACCAUGCUGGUACCCUGAUCUUCAACUUCCAGUCUUGAGCUGUUGAGAAAAUAAACUUUUAUUGUUUAA
ensembl:lncRNA novel transcript